rnacentral:rRNA from 1 species
UUUCCGGUUGAUCCCGCCGGAGGUCACUGCUAUCGGGGUUCGAUUAAGCCAUGCGAGUCGAGAGGGUUCGGCCCUCGGCGUACUGCUCAGUAACACGUGGAUAACUUAACCUGAGGAAGGGGAUAAUCCCGGGAAACUGGGGAUAAUACUCUAUAGAUUACAGGCGCUGGAAUGCCCUGUAAUCGAAAGUUCCGGCGCCUCAGGAUGGAUCUGCGGCCGAUUAGGUAGUUGUUGGGGUAAUGGCCCAACAAGCCAGUGAUCGGUACGGGUUGUGGGAGCAAGAGCCCGGAGUUGGAUUCUGAGACACGAAUCCAGGCCCUACGGGGCGCAGCAGGCGCGAAAACUUUACAAUGCGGGCAACCGUGAUAAGGGAACCUCGAGUGCCUGUAUAUGCAGGCUGUCCAGGUGUCUAAAACACACCUGAAGAAAGGGCCGGGCAAGACCGGUGCCAGCCGCCGCGGUAAUACCGGCGGCUCGAGUGGUGGCCACUUUUAUUGGGCUUAAAGCGUUCGUAGCUGGGUUGUUAAGUCUCUUGGGAAAUCUGGCAGCUUAACUGUCAGGCGUCUAAGGGAUACUGGCAAUCUUGGGACCGGGAGAGGUGAGGGGUACUUCGGGGGUAGGAGUGAAAUCCUGUAAUCCUCGAGGGACCACCUGUGGCGAAGGCGCCUCACCAGAACGGCUUCGACAGUGAGGGACGAAAGCUGGGGGAGCAAACCGGAUUAGAUACCCGGGUAGUCCCAGCCGUAAACGAUGUGCGUUAGGUGUAUCGACGACCACGAGUCGUCGAGGUGCCGAAGGGAAACCGUGAAACGUACCGCCUGGGAAGUACGGUCGCAAGGCUGAAACUUAAAGGAAUUGGCGGGGGAGCACCACAACAGGUGGAGCCUGCGGUUUAAUUGGAGUCAACGCCG